GCUUUUGUACACACCGCCCGUCGCUACUACCGAUUGAAUGAUUUAGUGAGGUCUUCGGACUGGUACGCGGCAUCGACUCUGUCGUUGCCGAUGCUACCGGAAAGAUGACCAAACUUGAUCAUUUAGAGGAAGUAAGAGUCGUAACAAGGUUUCCGUAGGUGAACCUGCGGAAGGAUCAUUA
rnacentral:rRNA from 2 species